UACGGGGGGGGCAAGCGUUGUUCGGAAUUACUGGGCGUAAAGGGCUCGUAGGCGGCCAACUAAGUCAUACGUGAAAUCCCCCGGCUUAACCGGGGAACUGCGUCUGAUACUGGAUGGCUUGAGUUCGGGAGAGGGAUGCGGAAUUCCAGGUGUAGCGGUGAAAUGCGUAGAGAUCUGGAGGAAUACCGGUGGCGAAGGCGGCCCCCUGGACAAAGACUGACGCUCAGGUGCGAAAGCGUGGGGAGCAAACAGG
rnacentral:rRNA from 1 species